AACGAACGCUGGCGGCAGGCCUAACACAUGCAAGUCGAACGCAUCGCAAGAUGAGUGGCGCACGGGUGAGUAACACGUGGGAAUGUAUCCUUUGGUUCGGAAUAACGUCUGGAAACGGACGCUAAUACCGGAUGAGCCCUAUGGGGGAAAGAUUUAUCGCCGAAGGAGCAGCCCGCGUCUGAUUAGGUAGUUGGUGGGGUAAAGGCCUACCAAGCCGACGAUCAGUAGCUGGUCUGAGAGGAUGAUCAGCCACACUGGGACUGAGACACGGCCCAGACUCCUACGGGAGGCAGCAGUGGGGAAUAUUGGACAAUGGGCGCAAGCCUGAUCCAGCCAUGCCGCGUGAGUGAUGAAGGCCUUCGGGUUGUAAAGCUCUUUCGCACACGACGAUGAUGACGGUAGUGUGAGAAGAAGCCCCGGCUAACUUCGUGCCAGCCGCCGCGGUAAUAC
rnacentral:rRNA from 1 species